rnacentral:rRNA from 1 species
AGCAGCCGCGGUAAUUCCAGCUCCAAUAGCGUAUAUUAAAGUUGUUGCAGUUAAAAAGCUCGUAGUUGAAUUUCGGGGUUAGUAGGUUGGUCAUGCCUCUGGUAUGUACUGGUCUCACUGAUUCCUCCUUCCUGAUGAGCCGUAAUGCCAUUAAUUUGGUGUUGCGGGGAAUUUGGACUGUUACUUUGAAAAAUUAGAGUGUUUAAAGCAAGCUAACGCUUGAAUACAUUAGCAUGGAAUAAUGAAAUAGGACGUUCGAUCCUAUUUUGUUGGUUUCUAGGAUUGACGUAAUGAUUAAUAGGGAUAGUUGGGGCAUUAGUAUUCAAUUGUCAGAGGUGAAAUUCUUGGAUUUAUUGAAGACUAACUACUGCGAAAGCAUUUGCCAAGGAUGUUUUCAUUAAUACAAGAACG